rnacentral:lncRNA from 1 species
UGCCAUAUAAGUUGGUUAUCCUCUUAACCAAGGAGUGUGGAGAUACUAUUAUGGUAUACAGAUGAAAUGUAAGAGUACAUUCGCAUCGAACGUGACCAUGUACCGAGUACUCUGGUGCCAAGAGUAGCUUGUGAAGGGUAUGGAUAUAAGUGUCCCUCCGACCUGAGACUAUCACGGUGACUUGUAAGCAACUCACUGUACUUUAGUACCAGACUAUCUGAGUUUCUAACUUAAUAAUGGAAGGAUAUUAGGUACAGUCAAGUACUUAUCAAGUCGGUGUGUGAAUCAAGAUUGAAUUGAUCCCUCUGAAUUGGUAGGAGAUAUGCAUCAGUAUAUUUCAAUUUAGCAAAAUCUUGACUAGGAUAAUCCAUGACAUGGAUUUGAAAGGUUGAAA